rnacentral:snRNA from 1 species
GGAUGUGAGGGCGAUCUGGCUGCGACACCUGUCACCCAUUGAUCGCCAGGGUUGAUUCGGCUGAUCUGGCUGGCCAGGCGGGUGUCCCCUUCCUCCCUCACUGCUCCAUGUGCGUCCCUCCCAAAGCUGCACGCUCGGUCGAAGAGGACGACCUUCCCCACUAGAGGAGGACCGGUCUUCGGUCAAGGGUAUAUGAGUAGCUUCACUCCCCUGCUAGAACCUCCAAACAAGCUCUCAAAUAAAAUAAAUCUGUUUUUAAAAAGUAGCAGCUCUGGGGCCGGUGCUGUGGCGUAGUGGGUAAAGCUGCCGCAUCCCCUAUGGGCGCCAGUUCGA